rnacentral:lncRNA from 1 species
CUAGCUUUAUAAUGCAGCCCACACCAUAUAAAUUGAGCCCCUCCAAGGAUUUAAGUGAAUAGGAUGACCAGUAUCUAUCACGCAACUAUUCUUCCCACUCCAUGGAAGGAGGUAUUUCUGCAGAACAGGACCUUGUUUUGGACUAAAUACAUCCUGCAGUGGAUAUAUGCCCUUCCUAAGUGGAAUAUCCUGUUUAUUUUGAUGGCCUCACUUUCUUGUAUAAGGACAAGUUGCCCACACAAAAGUUGGCCGGAUCAACUGCUUGCCAUAACCCAGCCUGCUUUAAUGUCCUUGAGCACCGCAAGGAUUUUUUUUUGAAUCAGGAAGUAUAAAUUCAAAUGAAGAACAUGGCUUAAGCAGAAGCAAGAUCUUUUAAGACCCAGCAUUGGACUUUUCCUUGAAGAACGUACAUUGAGAUUGCAAGUGAGUGGAGUAGGAUGGUCUUUUUGUUCCCUUUGUACAGCACCUAACGCAAUGGUGCCGAAGCCAUGGAGAGAGCUCCUCAGUGGCAUCAAGCAGCUACAGCAGUGCUGGUGCCUGGAGACAUCCGUCUGUGUCUAUGAAAGAACUUGUCUUCUUUCUCGCCUCCAUCCUUGUCCCUGGAUUGGACUAGCAACCUGUUUCAGUUCGUGCUUUCCAUUUAGGCUACGCUUGGUUUCCACUUGAUCAGACGCUUGGUUUCCACUUGAUUGGAAACAAGUGUGCUGAAAGCUGUCUGCUCUUUCUUCACUAUACAAUGUGGACUGCUGCCUGGCUCCAGUCUGGAAACAAUUAUUUCCCUCUUGUACCUACUCAUUCUGAAAAGUCAGAGACUUAUCCCUAGACUUUUUUUUCCUCUUUCCACUUUUGUUAGCCGAUUCCUUCAUAAAGAAAAGCUUGUUGUUCUACAUAAUGCCCACAGAACAGCUCUAGCUCUAGCUCUGGACAUCACAUAUUUCUGUUAUAUGACAAAAAUACUGCCAUAUUUUAAGGUCAGGUCUCCCUUGGGGAGUUUUGUAUCAGUACAUGUGCCACACUGCUCCUUUGUCCUGUUCUGAUAGGAUUAAUAUCUGAUGGCGUUUGAAUUUGUGGGACUUUAAGAAAGGGCUUGAAGUACCUGUUGUGGUUAGGCUGCUGUAAAUACUCUUCAAUAACCCCAAAGAACAGUCAAAACAUCCACACAUAGAUGUGCAGUAGUGCUUGC